AAACAAAAACUAAAACUAAUAAAUAGAACAAUCUGCAUGCCAGAGUAAUGGAGAGACUUUGACAGCCCAGGUUAUCACAGUGCCUGCUGUUGCCACUCAGCUCUCCUAUAUGU
ensembl:snoRNA LOC120100373 small nucleolar RNA SNORA44